rnacentral:rRNA from 1 species
UACCAGCACCUCGAGUGGUCAGGACGUUUAUUGGGCCUAAAGCAUCCGUAGCCGGCUUUGCAAGUCUUCGGUUAAAUCCACCUGCUCAACAGAUGGGCUGCUGGAGAUACUACAAAGCUAGGGAGUGGGAGAGGCAGACGGUAUUCAGUGGGUAGGGGUAAAAUCCUCUGAUCCAUUGAGGACCACCAGUGGCGAAGGCGGUCUGCCAGAACACGUUCGACGGUGAGGGAUGAAAGCUGGGGGAGCAAACCGGAUUAGAUACCCGGGUAGUCCCAGCUGUAAACGAUGCAAACUCGGUGAUGCAUUGGCUUAUGGCCAAUGCAGUGCCGCAGGGAAGCCGUUAAGUUUGCCGCCUGGGAAGUACGGACGCAAGUCUGAAACUUAAAUGAAUUGACGG